rnacentral:tRNA from 1 species
GCCCCUGUAGCACAGUGGAUAGUGCAAUAGACUUCUAAUCUUUUGACAGUGGUUCGAUUCCACUCAGGGGUU